rnacentral:rRNA from 1 species
GGCGCACGGGUGAGUAACACGUAACUGAUCUGCCCUAGAGAGAGGGAUAACUACUGGAAACAGUAGCUAAAACCUCAUAAGCUCACAUUAUUUAGAAAGGUGUGAGAAAAACUCCGGUGCUUUAGGAUGAGGUUGCGUCCCAUCAGCUAGUUGGUGUGGUAAAGGCGCACCAAGGCGACGACGGGUAGGGGACCUGAGAGGGUGACCCCCCACACUGGAACUGAGACACGGUCCAGACUCCUACGGGAGGCAGCAGUGAGGAAUAUUGCACAAUGGACGAAAGUCUGAUGCAGCGACGCCGCGUGGGCGAAGUAGGUUUUCGGAUCGUAAAGCCCUUUUCUAUGUGACGAGAACGGACGGUAGCAUAGGAAUAAGUGUCGGCUAACUACGUGCCAGCAGCCGCGGUAAAACGUAGGACGCAAACGUUAUCCGGAGUUACUGGGCGUAAAGCGCGUGCAGGCGGUUGAGUAAGUUACCUAUGA